CCUACGGGAGGCAGCAGUGGGGAAUAUUGGUCAAUGGAGGAAACUCUGAACCAGCAACGCCGCGUGAAUGAUGAAGGUCUUCGGAUUGUAAAGUUCUUUUCUAAGGGAAGAAGAAAGUGACGGUACCUUAGGAAUAAGCCUCGGCUAACUACGUGCCAGCAGCCGCGGUACUACGUAGGAGGCGAGCGUUAUCCGGAAUGACUGGGCGUAAAGGGUGCGUAGGGGGUUUGGCAAGAUGGUAGCGUAAGUCCGGGGCUGAACCCGGGCAUUGCUACUAAAACUGUCGGGCUUGAGUGCAGGAGAGGGGAGUAGAAUUCCUAGUGUAGCGGUGAAAUGCGGAGAUAUGAGGAGGAACAACAGGGGCGAAGGCGGCUGGCUGGACAAAAACUGACGAUGAGGCACGAAAGCGUGGGGAGCGAACAGGAUGAGAGACCGUUGUAGUA
rnacentral:rRNA from 1 species